UUUCUUCACUGUCCGAGGCCUCUUGUGCAGAUCUAGCUGCCUCAGUUUAAACAAAUAUGAAAUGCUUUUUUGACCCUCUCGGGUGACCAGCAGAUUCUAAGAGAGGAAAGUGGAAGAGAUUGAAGCAGGAAGAAAGGCUUGAAUAAAGAAGAUAGAUCGUGUGAAGUGAGAGUAUACCCUACACACAGCUUCAAUGGAGGGACUGAGAGCUCUCGGACUAAAUCUAAAAUAUCUUAAACUGUAUUCCAAAGAUAAACGGAGGUCUUACGGGUUUGAAACAACAUUAGGAGUCACCAUGGGUUUUGUGAUGUUAUUUGCCGUGAAUGCAGGAUUGCUGUAACAUUGUGUGAUAGUAGUGACUGUUUGUAGUCGCGGUGGGCCUGUUUGGAAGAAAAUCCAGGGUUUUUUUAAUCCCAGUCCGUCCCUGCUCAGAUUCCAGAUUUUCAAAUAGCUGUAUCCCGGCCAAAUAUUGUCUAAUCCUAAUAAACCAUACAUCAGUGGAAUGCUUAUUUAUUUAGCUUUCAGAUGAUGUAUAAAUCUCAGUUUUGAAAAAUUGUCACAUAUAUAAUGAUUUUAUUCAUUUGUACAUUCACAGGGUAGAUGAGUUAGUUUACAAUAAAUAUAAAAUCCUCAUUGCAAAAUGUGUAUAUGUAUAUAUUUUAAUAUGUAUAUGAUGAUUUUUUUAUUGUAUGCAACUUCUUUAAAAUAACAUAUGGAAAUCUGUAUGUUUAUAUAUGUUUUUGUAAUAUAUAUUUUUAAAUACAUGUGUAUAUUUUAUAUAUAGUUAUAUAAUAUCAACAUGUACUGAUGGGUUUCUACAUGUACAUGAUAUAAGAGCAAAUGUAUUUGUACAGACUAGAUUUGGUUUAUGUGUCUAUGACGAUAUUUCAAAUGUGGAAAUUUAAUCUGUGUUUUUACAUUUAAUGUGGUGACCUGACAUACUUCUGUCCCCAACUAUAAAUGAAAAGCUAGAUUUACUACAUGUAUUAUCAUUUAUUCAAUUAGUGUCAAAUGACAACCUAGU